UCAAGAAACUUCCACAAUGGGCGAAAGCCUGAUGGAGCGACGUCGCGUGAUGGACGAAGUGCUUCGGCACGUAAACAUCUUUUAUGUGGGAUGAAAUUAUUGACAGUACCACAUGAAUAAGGGGCUCCUAACUCUGUGCCAGCAGGAGCGGUAAUACAGAGGCCCCAAGCGUUAUCCGGAAUCACUGGGCGUAAAGGGUGUCGAGGCGGUUGUAUUAGUCGUUCGUAAAAUCUACGAGCUUAACUUGUAGGCGGCGAACGAAACGGUACGACUUGAGGUUUGGAGAGGUGCGUGGAACUCACGGUGUAGGGGUGAAAUCCGUUGAUAUCGUGGGGAACACCAAAGGCGAAGGCAGCGCACUGGCCAAAAUCUGACGCUCACACACGAAAGCUAGGGUAGCGAAGAGGAUUAGAUACCCCG
rnacentral:rRNA from 1 species